AGCACCGCCGCGGUAACACGUAGGGUGCAAGCGUUAAUCGGAAUUACUGGGCGUAAAGCGUGCGCAGGCGGUUUUGUAAGACAGAGGUGAAAUCCCCGGGCUCAACCUGGGAACUGCCUUUGUGACUGCAAGGCUAGAGUACGGCAGAGGGGGAUGGAAUUCCGCGUGUAGCAGUGAAAUGCGUAGAUAUGCGGAGGAACACCGAUGGCGAAGGCAAUCCCCUGGGCCUGUACUGACGCUCAUGCACGAAAGCGUGGGGAGCAAACAGGAUUAGAUACCCCCGUAGUCCCUGUCUCUUAUACA
rnacentral:rRNA from 1 species